rfam:Drechmeria coniospora strain ARSEF 6962 chromosome 01, whole genome shotgun sequence.
GCGAGUCUGGCCGAGUGGUUAAGGCGUUGUGUUUAGGUUAGUAUCCACUUUGGAUUCGUUGUUACUUGAACCGCAAUGGGCAUCGCCCGCGUAGGUUCGAUCCCUACGGCUCGCA